UGGCAGGAACACAGUGCAGGCAGGCUGUUCGGUGCAGGCUUCUUCCUCAAGGGCAGUUCGAGUGAGAGGCUCCUAUGUAGAAAUGGCUGCUAAGCUCUGUUUUUAAAAUUUGAGAUCAAUUAGCCACCAGGAGUCCUUGGUAGGUAUCUUUUUUUCUCAGAGUCUGCAGUUCCAAACAACAUUCUCGAUGUCACUAUCUUUAGAUACCAAAAUGAGUUCAGCCCUGAUACUCUGUUCACAGCUGUAAUGCAUGCAAACCAAUUUGAGACUGUGUUAAUUGCCCUUGGAAGAUUCAGCAGCCAACUGAAAAAGCACAGAAGAAUAUAAGAAAUGAUAGUUGUUCAUUCGGAUGUCUUGAAACUGUCUCUGGAGGACUUGGCACCCAACUGAGAAUAUACAAAAAAGAAUUAACAGCAACAGCACAAUACUUAAAAGAUACCAGGCAGUAUAUUAAAAGGGUUGAAACCUCUCAAAUCAUCUAAAAUUUUCUCAGCCAAUUUUGCGGGAUCUACAAUAAAGAUUCUACUGUUUUGGAUGUCAAGAAUAUGUUUAUGAAGAUUAGCCACAUCGAGACUGGCAUUAUUGUCAGUCCAUAUCCCUUGUAAAUGUAAUUUAACUUUAUUUCAAUUCUAUUCAGAGGCAUCGUAGUCUCUGAAUGUGGCCCAAUCAAGACCUCAAUUUUUCUGCCUCAUCCCUACAUUAUUUCCCUUCAGAGAUUUUAUUCCCUUAAUCUUAAGGAGAUGUUGAUGGAUGAAGGUCUGUCUUCUGUAACUUCUUCAAAGCUGAGAUAGGGUUGCAGUCCCUGCCUAUUAGGAAUAAAAAUUUUUCAAAGCCUAUUCUAAGGGCCCCAGAGGCAGACAACAUGAGGUCAUUCCAGCAUGUAGAAGUGGUAGGAAGCCUUGUAACCUAGAAGAUAGAAACUUAGCAAAAAGGUAGAAAAGACAAAUCAAAAUUAAUAGUAUGAAGUUACUUUUUCAUGGCAGUUUGUUAAUUUAAGGUACACAAAAGUUUCUUGAUUCCUUGGGACAUGUGGACUUACCUAGUUUCUGGAACAAGAGCUUAAGAUCUUCCACGGAUUCACAAGAAUAGGAUAUACUUGCCGGUUUAUUUUCUGGAGGAACCUGUGAGGACCCAUAAGAAACUUGUCAAGGCAACAUAAAACACAGAAAUUAUUUUGAUUAAGCAUGGAAACCUUGUUUUCUACUCAGAAAACUUUUCUAUAACAUCAGUAGCAAACUAAUUGUUCAUUACAACAUGGUCUGUAUUUGAAUGUUUGUUACAACAUGGUUUGUAUUAGAACCACACUGGAAACCACAUAAAUGCCCAUCAGCAGGUAAAUAAAUACAACAGAAUGGAAAUGAACAAACUAAAGCAAUACACAAAACAUGACUGAAUUUCACAAACACCUGUUUAAUGAAAGAGCACAGACACAAAAAGCUGUAUGGUUUUGGUUAUAGAAAGUUCAAAAAUAGGCAGAACUAAUCCAUGGUAUUUGAAUUCAGGAGAUUCUCUUUGGAAAGAAAGUGGGGUUGCAGUUACUGUAUUUUUAAUUUUUUAUAUUCUUGAUACUCUGGUAUUUGGGGCCUUGAUAAUGGAGAAAUUGCCUCUACCAAGGCUAGCUAAUUCUUAGAGAUAGCCAGUGACUCCCCUGACUCCCCUGUGAGCACAUUUUUGAUAUACAAACCAACCAAUUCGAUGACCAUACUCUCAACUAUCUCUCUCCUUUAUCAAAUUCAUACACACCAAACCAAUAUUCUCCCUGCCCUAAACCAUCCCAGCACCAACAACUGUGGUAGUCUGACCCUGCCUGGCCAUUUCCUGCUCAAACAAGUUCGUUCCUGACUGCCCAUCCUGCCUUCCAAGAACUCUCUGGCUAACAUCAGUUUUCUCAUAGUUUGCCAGCCAAUCGGUGUUCUUCCUUAUUUCUGUAGCUGUGUAGGAAUGAUGAGAUUGUAUAAA